rnacentral:lncRNA from 1 species
CAACACAAGGUACUUUUCUUUAUCUUUGUUGUGUUUCUUCUUCUGUAUUCAUUGCUUCAUUUUUGUUUCUUAGCAAACCUUUUGCUGUGUAAUUAUAUACUGCUUCGUAUUUGAAUAAAAUUUGUUUCAGUGCUGAUUGUGUCCGUUAUUUUUUCGUUGGUUAUACUUUGAUUUAGUAUUAGGGUAAAUUUGUAGUUGUUGUUUAUUGCCUUUUUUGUCGUUUCAUUUGGUUAAAUUUGCAGAUCUGAAGUGUAAUUGAUAGUAUUUCAAUUUUCGGUGCAUACACCAGACAUUAAUAUGUUCCUCGAGUUCGUCUAUUUUAUGGAGUUUUAUUGAAAUUAAAUUUAAUUGAAGACUCGUGGUUGGAUGUAGCCUUCAUUUGACUUCCUUAAACUUGAUAUUUUUCAUAAUCAGCAUUACAUAGUUUCAUAACUUUUAAAAUUUCGUGCUUGGUUACAUAAGAUGCCACCAAAUUGACUUAUAUAAAAUUGAAGCAAUAGCUGUAGAUAACAACUCAUUCCUUCGAUUUUCUUUCUUUGGUGAUAAUUUGAUCGAAUUUCGGGUGAGUUAUUGGCUCCACAAUUGCAAGAAAUCUAUUUUCAAAUUUUGCAUAUUAUGUGUUUGACAAAAUGUUUGAGAGAACCCUGCGAAUUUUUCUUUACAUUCUUGAGAUUGUCUCUUACUGAUUCUUUUCUUCUUCUUUUUGUUGCAGGGAUUAAAGUAGAAGCUUGAGAUUAGAGCUAAGAUCAGAGCUGCUGCAGAACUUUGAUUUCCCUUCGACUUCUUUUCUUGAAAGAAAUUUGGUAAGGUAUGUUUUCGGCAUUUAUAAGAGCUUUGCCUCUGUAGUCUGCACAUCACUUGCUCGAUGAAUUGUUUUGUCUAUAGGUUCCUUGACUUCCAUUUCAAUCUUAAGAAAGUAGUGAAAGGGCACGGUUUUUAUUUUCUCUAUCAAUUUUCUAAUAUCAAUAUGAGCAUAAAAGAUUCACUUUGUGAUGUGGGAUUGGUGGAAAUAUUCUAAUUUUGUCAGAAAUGUUCCAGUUCUCUUAAGUGCAGCAAUAAGUCCUCCUGUAAUGUCCAUCAUUGGUAUCGCUGUGUUAUAAAAACUCUCAUUACUCCUUGCCUUAUACAACUAUUGUAAGAAUGCUCAAUUAGCUUCCUUUGUGAUCUUUUCCAGUCUCUGUUUAUUUUUUUACACUUCUUUAAUUCUUACAUGUUUCUUUUUGCUUAUCAUGCAUUUAAUAUCUUUGCAGAGCUCAAAUAUGUUUCCCAAAGCAAUUGUUGCAUGAGAAAGUGACAACCAAUAGGUUCUUUAUUUUUAUUUUUAUUUUUUGACAAGAGUGCAAUGUUUUUAAUUUGCC